UACGAAGGGGGGCUAGCGUUGCUCGGAAUUACUGGGCGUAAAGGGAGCGUAGGCGGAUAGUUUAGUCAGAGGUGAAAGCCCAGGGCUCAACCUUGGAAUUGCCUUUGAUACUGGCUAUCUUGAGUAUGGAAGAGGUAUGUGGAACUCCGAGUGUAGAGGUGAAAUUCGUAGAUAUUCGGAAGAACACCAGUGGCGAAGGCGACUUACUGGACACAUAUUGACGCUGAGGUGCGAAAGCGUGGGGAGCAAACAGG
rnacentral:rRNA from 1 species